AGAGUUUGAUCCUGGCUCAGAACGAACGUUGGCGGCGUGGAUUAGGCAUGCAAGUCGUACGAGAAAACUCCCUUCGGGGAGCGAGUAAAGUGGCGAACGGGUGAGUAACACGUGGGGAACCUGCCCUCGAGUUGGGGAUAACAUUCCUAACGGAGUGCUAAUACCGAAUAACACGUUUGGGUCGCAUGGCCCGGACGUCAAAGCUGGCCUCUACUUGUAAGCUAGCACUUGAGGAUGGCCCCGCGGCCCAUUAGCUUGUUGGUGGGGUAACGGCCCACCAAGGCUGCGAUGGGUAGCUGGUCUGAGAGGAUGGUCAGCCACACUGGGACUGAGAUACGGCCCAGACUCCUACGGGAGGCAGCAGUCGAGAGGCUUCGGCAAUGGGGGCAACCCUGACCGAGCGACGCCGCGUGGGUGAUGAAGGCCUUACGGUCGUAAAGCCCUGUCAGAGGGGAAGAAACGCCAUGGUGCUAAUACCAUCGUGGCCUGACGUUACCCUCAAAGGAAGCUCCGGCUAACUCCGUGCCAGCAGCCGCGGUAACACGGGGGGAGCGAACGUUGUUCGGAAUCACUGGGCGUAAAGGGCGCGCAGGCGGCCUGGUAAGUGGGAUGUGAAAGCCCCUGGCUCAAUCAGGGAACUGCAUCUCAGACUGCCGGGCUUGAGGACGGGAGAGGAAACGGGAAUUCCCGGUGUAGCGGUGACAUGCACUGAUAUCGGGAGGAACACCAGUGGCGAAGGCGCGUUUCUGGCCCGCUCCUGACGCUCAGGCGCGAAAGCUGGGGGAGCAAACAGGAUUAGAUACCCUGGUAGUCCCAGCCGUAAACGGUGGACACUAGGUGUGGGGGGCAUCGACCCCUUCCGUGCCGUAGCUAACGCAUUAAGUGUCCCGCCUGGGGAGUACGAUCGCAAGGUUGAAACUCAAAGGAAUUGACGG
rnacentral:rRNA from 1 species